rnacentral:rRNA from 1 species
UACAUUAGCCAUAUCACCCUGUAGCCCAAGACUGGUUGCCCACUGAAGCUAAGCAGGGUUGAGCCUGGUCAGUACCUGGAUGGGAGACCUCCUGAGAAAACUAGGUUGCUGCUGGAA